UACGGAGGGUGCAAGCGUUAUCCGGAUUUACUGGGUUUAAAGGGUGCGUAGGUGGGUAAGUAAGUCAGUGGUGAAAUCUUCGAGCUUUAACUCGGAAACUGCCAUUGAUACUAUUUAUCUUUGAAUACUUUGGAGGUAAGCGGAAUAUGUCAUGUAGCGGUGAAAUGCUUAGAUAUGACAUAGAACACCAAUUGCGAAGGCAGCUUACUACACAGUUAUUGACACUGAGGCACGAAAGCGUGGGGAUCAAACAGG
rnacentral:rRNA from 1 species